rnacentral:rRNA from 1 species
UACGUAGGGGGCUAGCGUUGUCCGGAAUCAUUGGGCGUAAAGCGCGUGUAGGCGGUCCGGUAAGUCUGCUGUGAAAGUCGGGGGCUCAACCCUCGAAUGCCGGUGGAUACUGUCGGGCUAGAGUGCGGAAGAGGCGAGUGGAAUUCCUGGUGUAGCGGUGAAAUGCGCAGAUAUCAGGAGGAACACCUAUUGCGAAGGCAGCUCGCUGGGACGUUACUGACGCUGAGACGCGAAAGCGUGGGGAGCAAACAGG